UCCAGCACAGAACCAGAACCAGAACCAGAACCAGAACCAGUCCGGCCUUUCUAGUGUCUCCUAAAACUCCUCAAAGGAAAGGAAAAGUGUGCGGGGCCGAGGUCGCCCAUGGGCCGGGCUCUACCAGGUCCCCGUCCAUCACAGAGACAACAGGGACACUUUAGAGACAAAUUCACCCAACAGUCAUGUUGCUGCACUGUGGGAGGCCGGGAUUCAAACCCAGGACCUUCUAGCUGCAGGGCAACAGUUCUCCACCCACCUGGUGAUUGUCUGACCCGUGGAAAGAUGAAACUCUGACACCCUGGAGACGCCAGGCUGGUGGCUGUGAAGAGUGGCUACAUGUAGGCAGCAGUGACCAGGUGUUCCUGGGCCUGGCUCUUCACCUCACAGGUGUGGCGUUCAGGUGCGGCUGACACGCUGCGUUCACCUCACAGGUGUGGCGUUCAGGUGCGUCUGACACGCUGCGUUCACCUGACAGGUGUGGCGUUCAGGUGCGUCUGACACGCUGCGUUCACCUCACAGGUGUGGCGUUCAGGUGCGUCUGACGCUGCGUUCACCUCACAGCAGCAGAAUCUGUAGCGCCUUUCUAAAGAGGAGCCGGCGUUUUCUAUCAGCCGUGCUAGCUGACUGGACCAGCAGCUGCUGACGUCAUCACGCUGUUGUGCUCACGCUGCGUUCAGGUGCGUUCAGGUGCGUCUGACGCUGCGUUCAGGUGCGUCUGACGCUGCGUUCAGGUGCGUCAUCACGCUGUUGUGCUGACGCUGCGUUCAGGUGCGGCUGACGCUGCGUUCAGGUGCGGCUGACGCUGCGUUCAGGUGCGUCUGACGCUGCGUUCAGGUGCGUCUGACGCUGCGUUCAGGUGCGGCUGACGCUGCGUUCAGGUGUGUCUGACGCUGCGUUCAGGUGCGUCUGACGCUGCGUUCAGGUGCGUCUGACGCUGCGUUCAGGUGCGUUCAGGUGCGGCUGACGCUGCGUUCAGGUGCGUUCAGGUGCGUCUGAGCUAACAGCAUGUUCAG